UUUUAUGGCGGGCCGGGCGGUGAGACCUUCGGGUCUGCCGGUAGCUGGGAUAGGGCCGGUCUGCUAACGCCGUCGUCAGGCCCGCCACCCUU
rfam:Mumia flava strain MTSC 201 Contig256, whole genome shotgun sequence.